CGAGUUGAUUCGGGCUCCGGCCCGAUCCUCCCACCCUUUGUGUACCUACCUCUGUUGCUUUGGCGGGCCGCGGUCCUCCGCGGCCGGCCCCCCUCCCCGGGGGGUGGCCAGCGCCCGCCAGAGGACCAUCAAACUCCAGUCAGUAAACGAUGCAGUCUGAAAAACAUUUAAUAAACUAAAACUUUCAACAACGGAUCUCUUGGUUCUGGCAUCGAUGAAGAACGCAGCGAAAUGCGAUAAGUAAUGUGAAUUGCAGAAUUCAGUGAAUCAUCGAAUCUUUGAACGCACAUUGCGCCCUUUGGUAUUCCGAAGGGCAUGCCUGUUCGAGCGUCAUUACAACCCUCAAGCUCUGCUUGGUAUUGGGCACCGUCCUUUGCGGGCGCGCCUCAAAGACCUCGGCGGUGGCGUCUUGCCUCAAGCGUAGUAGAACAUACAUCUCGCUUCGGAGCGCAGGGCGUCGCCCGCCGGACGAACCUUCUGAACUUUUCUCAAGGUUGACCUCGGAUCAGGUAGGGAUACCCGCUGAACUUAAG
rnacentral:rRNA from 1 species